rnacentral:rRNA from 1 species
AACGAACGCUGGCGGCAUGCCUAACACAUGCAAGUCGAACGAACCCUUCGGGGUUAGUGGCGCACGGGUGCGUAACGCGUGGGAACCUGCCUUUAGGUUCGGAAUAACAGUUAGAAAUGACUGCUAAUACCGGAUAAUGUCUUCGGACCAAAGAUUUAUCGCCUUUAGAUGGGCCCGCGUUAGAUUAGAUAGUUGGUGGGGUAACGGCCUACCAAGUCGACGAUCUAUAGCUGGUCUGAGAGGAUGAUCAGCCACACUGGGACUGAGACACGGCCCAGACUCCUACGGGAGGCAGCAGUGGGGAAUAUUGGACAAUGGGCGAAAGCCUGAUCCAGCAAUGCCGCGUGAGUGAUGAAGGCCUUAGGGUUGUAAAGCUCUUUUACCAGGGAUGAUAAUGACAGUAC